UAGCUGUAUUCCUAGGUAUUUUAUUCUUUUUGUAGCAAUUGUGAAUGAGAGUUCUUUCAUGAUUUGGCUCUCUGACAAGCUCUGUAAUAUUCUUUUAUACAUCCCUGCUUUGGUAUUUGCUGUUUUCUUUCUUUUCUUUGCUGUUCUUAAAGAAGUAGCUCCAACUUACAUCCUACCCUUGGGCAGAAUUGCUUUUCUCUCACAGUACAUAUCUUUAUUGCAAACCACCCCAUUAUGCAUUGUGUGUCUGUAUGUGUGCCUAUCUGUCCCUCCCAUACACUGCUCAGUGUUACCUUUGUUAGAUGUGAAUCACCAGAACAACAGAUGCUUUUCAUUCACCUGCUAAAAAGACCAGCAGGUAUCCAGGACCCACUGAGCACUGUGGCUAGGCAGCAUCUCUCAGAAUGUCUGCAUACUUCAAUUGCCCCUUUUGAGUUGCAUAGUAAUCAAAAGUCUAUUGCAUUUGUUCUCACAUCUUUAUAACAGUUUUACUAGUUAUGAUAAGCAAGUAAUCUCAUUAAAUAUUAAACAAACAUAAAAUGAGCACAGCAAAAAUGAAAGUUUUAUUUCUGUGAAAUGUAUUCUGAAAGCUUUGGGAAAACUUGAUAAAGGAAAUCACAAAACAAACAAAAAUAUCCUGACAAAUUAAUUAUGGGAAAUACCAUUAUACACAAUUGAAGGGAAAUUUUUAAACAUCCAGAUGGAUUCUUCACUCAGAUAUAUUGCAAGUAUCAUUAAAUCUUUGCUCCAUUUUAAAGAAGUCACAGUUGAAAAGUAUGAUGCAUGGAUGGGUCAGUUUUUAUCAAGAAGAACAAGCUGUAGCUCCAAACAACAGUGUCAGUUUAAUAAUUUAAAAAAAAGAUCCUGGCUUUACAUCACAAGAUUGGCAAAUCAAUUAAAGGUAUAAUAAAAAUGUUUAAGAAAUAUCCCUUUUAACCUUCUUUAACCCAUGUUUAAACAUGAACUAGCAAAUCCUUGACAAAAGGCCUUCUACUGAACUUUACCCUGUCUCCUAACCUUUGCUGCUAAGAGUGAGUAAAAAUAACAGAGUCAAACUGAAACUAAGGAAAGGAGGAAACCCCUCUCUGAUGGGGAAACUGAAAUGUGACUGACAUGCUACCUGUGACUAUGAGUCACCUUAUGGAGGACACUGGGGUAAAUGAGGUAUGAGAGAUGGAGACAGAAAGCCUGCUGAUUUGGACCCCUGAGAGUUGCUCCCAAGACCAGGCACACACCUUUUGUUCUAGAAUUAAUCACACAAACAGCAUCUUUUCCUUUUUAUUUGAGUUCUUUAAAGCUGGGUUUGUUUCAUGUGUAAACAAACAAGACCGGGUAAUAAUAAUUUUAAAACCUCUACCUUACAUAUUAAGGAAUUACUAUGGAAUCUUUUAAUUGACCCAAAAAUAUUACUGGAUGUAAUAUUACUGGACAUCUCUUCUGUGCCAGGCUCUGAGGAUGGAACAGUGAACAAAUCAGACAGUCCGGGUUCUCCUGGAACUUACAGGCUAGUGCCCCAAGGGCUGGAAAGGAUUGCAGAUAUAUAUUUUGUAUUUACAUCACACUAAUAUUUGUAUCAUAAUAUUAUUGCAUUCAUUAUGUGUUAAUAGUUGACAGAUCCAACAUGGACCUUGAAGAACAUGUGAAUAUUUUCAAGGGAGUAGCCAUAAACCUUUAUUUGAAUGCCAGUGAAAAUAAUUACAUACUCCAAAUCAUAUUCCUGUGCCAUUGUCAAAUUCAGAAUUUGGUGUUAAAGGAACUGUAAGACUUAACAAGCAAGGCAAUUUCUUAUGUUCUCAUGAUACAAAUAUAUAGAGAGUAGCCCCACGUGGAUUGGUUACUGCUGGGUGACAGUACUUGUAGAAAUUCAGAACUGGAAGAUGCCUACAUGUAAGGAGUGUGAAGAACAGAGGAAUUAACUGGUUCAUUCAUGGUCAGCCAGACUGCAAAUGUGGCAGUUCCCAGCCAGGUGUUCACAGUAGGUCACCAUGGCUUGAAAAUAUGUCACAAGUAGUUUGUUACUCAUAAUAAAAGAGUAACAGUUGAAAAUUAUUACUUUUUUUCAGAAAUUAGAUCACAUUUUGAUUAUUCCUAUAACAUGCUCAUUUGCAUUCCAAGAUUCAUUCUUGAGCAGAAGAAUGAAUCAGCUUAUUCCCUGCUUGUGAGCCAGAAAUUGCACAUUCCCUGGGAAGUUCCUGAGAGAAGAUUGUGCAAACCGAGGUUACGAGUCAUGUUUCUUGUCACUGGACACAUAAAGGCUAAGAAUCUUGUGACCUGGUGGAAAAUCCAGGACUAGAACCCAGUAUUUUGAGUUUUUUAGAGAGUCUUGUUUUUUAAUCAACUUAUAAUAAAGGGUAGGAUGGACUCUCAAUCUUUAAAUAUGGAGGAGAAAAUUUAACAUGUGAUUAUUAGUGGCCCACGAGAAAUAAACCCACAUCAAAUGAAGCUCAGUUUGUGGUAUCUCUAGAACACUUUCUUCCUCUGUUCCUCAAAGAUCUGGUGGUAAUUUUAAAACCUUGUCUAACUUCUGUUUGUUGUAGAGGAGGUUAAUACUUUGCCCAAACUUGGGCUUCAUCACAUGGUAUUAGAACAUGCCAACUAAUGCCCUAUUCAAAUACCUCAAAUAAAAUAAAAUAAAAUAUCAUUGAUUUGGGCCCAGUGCUAUAAACUUCAGUUUCCAAAAGCUUUCAGUGUCAAUUACUUCCCAUAGCAAAGCAGUCCACAAGCCUCUUGAUGAUGUUUAGAGUCUUAUAUCAUCAAUUGCAGGCCUGUUUAUACUUCACAAUAAAAUCUAAUUUCUCGUACUUACUGUCAGAGUUAGGCAGCCUUAUUGAAUUGAAUUCCUAAAGAAAAUGAUGAUCUCAGAAGUAAACUUGAACUUAUUAAAACAAGCUUGCAGUCCAAAUUUCCAGCAGCAAUGGGGCUUCCUAAUUCAGUUAAUUCAAUACAUGCUACUCAGCAGUUUGAAGGAUAUACUUUCCAGAAUAUAGUGAGAUCUCACCCUAUUAGAGGUAAAAAGUGAAUUGAAUGCAAUUCAUACAAUAUUAAUAACUUGCUCUACUUUACAGCUUAGUAAUAAAGUUAUUUAUGCUCCCAGAGGCGUUUCAUGACAUUCACAGUAGAAAGAUGGCAGUAGACAGGUGGGCUGGGCCUGUGACAUUUAGAAAUAGCAGAACUGUGACACCUUCCUGUGAGGCUACAUAGGAUGAUGGCCAAGGAGAAUGACCCUGGUACAAAAUCUUUAUAAGCAGCACACUGAAGAAGAGACAUAGACUCUAAAUAAACUUCUAUCCUACCUUUUGGAACAAGUGAAUAGCAAAAAUUGUAAUUUAGAUGAACAUAGUCUGGACAUAGAUCAACUAGCUACCACACCACAAAUUUAUCUUUCCCAGAUCAACUGUAUCCUUUCAAGAUUUAAAUUACACAUUUCGCCUAGCUCCUCACACAUUAACAUAAGUUAUACUCAACCUCCACUAUACACAUAGAUGAAAUUUUUGUCUUUAAUUAUGUACUGUUUUAUAUUCUUUUAUCCAUACUAUUUUCUAUUGUUUCCUAUGUUCAGUUCCAAGCACCUAGAAAACGAUAAUCACAUCUUAUGCAGUGCUCCCCUAUCUCCCACAACACCUGCCACAGUAGUAAAUAAAAGACCAAUGCUGAAGAAGUGUUUGUAAAUAAAGAAAGAAGAUGCCAAAGUUUUAUCUGAUAAUCAUUUUCCAUGAUCAGAUGUAGGAUGUGCAAACAGAAGGAAGUGGCAUCAUAAAUAAUUCAAAGUAGCAGAUAAUUGGAAGGUCAUUUCUAUUUUACUUUGAAAUGCAUUAAGGCUGGCCACAACUUUAAACAACAGCCCACUUAUAGUCUCAUCAGCAAAUGAUGAGUCAUGUGCUGUGAUAAACUAAAAGAUGAAGAGGAAUGGAACACAGUUUCCGUAUUUUGUCUACACAACAUUUAUCACCCACUUCCUUCUAGCAUCCUAUUAGCCUUCUAGGUAAUUAGCUCCCCGAUUAUGUUCAAUCUUGUUGGGAAAGUAAAUCCAGGCAUCACUGGAUUCACUAAUUUUAACUAAUUUCUUCAACUAAUUUCAACUAAUUUCUCUGUUAUUACCUGGCAUAACUAAGGGCUGGUACAUCACUUAUACUUGGCCAAUCAGACACACUUUUCCAGGGCUUGAACUUUAGGCCAUGUUAUGCCAAGGCAGAAAGGAAAAAGGACAUUCCAGGGCUCAUAACAUACAUGGGGCAUCCAUCAGGUCUUGCUUCUAAGACUUAGUGGAAAUUCUUAGGUCCCAUAAAUUCCAAACAGGUUCUGGUAAUCUGAGUUUUUAAUGAAUUCACUUGUAAUAGAAUAUAAUAGACUUAUUUUCUAUUGUUUGCAACCAAAACACCCUAACUGCCCUGUUGGGCCAAUGCUUCCCUGAGAAAUGUGGAAGUGGAAAAACAGGACACAGACAGCGUAGCACAAGGGUAGAGUGUGAGAAGAUAUGAUGAGUAGAAUCAGGGUCAGAGAAGCCACAUAAAGUGUGGGAAGGUUAUCAUUGUGCAGUAGUCAAAGGUAGGGGAGGGUCAGAGGAGGCUGAUGCAUAGGGUAAGGAAAAGGCCAAGAAUCAUACAAAGAAGCAGAUAUGCCUGAAGGAUGAGACCCUGCGACCUCUAGGAGGACUGGCUCCCAGUGGCAGUUCAGUUCCCAACGCUUUUUCUCAGAAGAGCCCACUGUGUAUUUCCCUGGAUUUUCAUUCAUUUAAUAAUCUCCUUUGUACUCUUCCAUGGCUUUUUAAAACGAACAUAUAGUGAUUAAGUUGUGAGCUCUAGGAUCCAACUGCCUAUGUAAGUAAGACUCUCACUCUAUCACUUAUUUAAGUUUUCCUAUCUGUAAAUUGAGGCUACUAAUAGGUACUUCAUACCUCAUAGGGUUUUUAUGAGGUUUCAAUAAGAUAAUUCAAGCACACUGCUCAGCCCAACACCAUUCCGAUAUAUCAGAAACAAAUCUCAUGCAUCUCUUUAAAUUAUCUCUACCUCUCACCUCCUAGACAGCCCACAUUUCUGGAAAUGCAGGAUCCUCACCCUUGGCCAACCCAGGUAGCUGGGCAAAACACCCUGAGCAGCCACUGAAGCUGCCUUGUGAUGCAAGCUAGAAGUGACAGGGAGUUGAACCCCCCAUGGAGCAAACUCUGAUCAAUGGGAAAGGGAUAAGAGGGAAUCAGGUAGAUAUAGUCCCCUCCCUGCAUCCCUGGACUGCUGCAAGGUACAGUUUCUCCCUUUGACCUCUCUGGAGAAGUUCCUGGUAGACCGGCUGAAUGACUUGGCCAUUCUGGAAGCAGGAGCCAAGGUGGUAAUGUUUCCCAUCCCACUGAUUUCCCAUCUGUCUUUGCGUAGUUUCCCUUCUUACUCAUUCUGGCUCCCCUAGGUUUGCACCUGUCAUAUACAACUCAGAUUUUAAAAUCCCUGUUCACUUCAAUCUCUACUUUCCAGGUAACCCAGUCCAAGACAAUAUUAAUAGUGUUAUUAUCAUCACUUGAACUAGCCAAAUUGGGCAUCCGUUACUUGAAACCAAGGGAGUCAGGAUAAAGCAAUGAGGCAGAGUGUGCACUGUCACGCCGAGCUCCAUACUGAUAAACAGAGCCCCAGCAGCUACUAUUAAUGAGUGUCUGGAAUAUGUUCCUGGCAUUUCACCUACCCUCUCUCCAAUCCUUCCAAGAAACUCACAAAGCAGGGCUUUUUCUUGAACUUCUCUUCCUCACAACAGUUAAAUCAUCCAUUUAAAGAUGUCAAACAACCUCCGUGUUCUAAGGACACAGCAUGUACAACCUCACAUAGAGUUCCUGACCAGACAAGACUUGCUGGAAAUUUCCCAGGAUCUUCCUUCCUUAAGCAUCCAUCAUGGGAAGCCACCUUGCCCUAGGGAGAGCUCCUGACCUAGGGUCAGGAAUAUAUUAAGGAAGACAGCAAUUAAUACAUUCAAAAAUAAUAAUAAUUACAAAUUGUAAGUAUAAUGCAGGCAAAGUGAGAUCAUGGGGUUUUGGCUUUACUCUGGGAGUCAGAGAAUUUCUCUGGGGAGGUGACAUAUAAGGGAAGAAAUGAAAGACAGGAGAGAAAUUAGCCUGACAAAGAGCAGAGAGAAGAACAUUCCUGGCAAAGAUAUUGGCAUGGACAAAGGCCCCAGGCAAGAACAAGAUUAGCCCCUACGGCCAGAGUGGCCAGAGAACAGGUGCGUGAGGUGUGUAAGGGACAAAGCAGGCCAGGGCAUUUGAUUUAAGGUUUUUGGAUAUUGGUUCAUUUUUCAAAAACCAAUCUUUAGCCUCUUUCAUCAAAAGCAACCCUGUUUUCAUUAUUUCUGGUAGUUCUUUUUGUUGGUUUUAUUAUUUCUUGGUAAAGUAACAGAUAGGAAGUAGAUGACGGACCUGGCUGCAUGUGUCAGGUGCCUUUGCAGCCUUUUCCAGGCCACUGGAGCAUUGCUAAUACACCAAAGCAAUAACGUAUUGCAUUUCAUGGAACCUAAGAAUCAUUUAUUCUCAAAUGCAUCUUAUUUCAGAGAUAUUUAAAUGUAAAAACUUGUACAUUCUAGAAUUCAUGCAUUAUGGUUUGCUGAAAGAGAAUGUUUAACUUUACAGAACUAAUUUAUUCCUAAGAAAUAGUUUACAAUUCAAAGGCCAACUCUAAACUCAUAACUGAUACUGAGUAUUUUCACAGCUUAAAGACUUUUUUUUACCAAUCGCACUAAAGUUGUUAAUAAAGCAAAGGUAAAAGGUCCAUAGAAUGUAUGAGUGUUGAAUUAGUGCAUAAUAACAUAUCAGUGGAGCUAAGUUGAAAUUAAUAUAAGAAUUCAGUUAAUCAUCAUUUGCAUAAAUUCAGCCUGUAGACUAAAAAUAGGGCCAUAUUUAAAUUUUAAAAAUAAUGACGUGUUCAAAUACAAUGUUUAGAGUUCUUAUUUGGAUAAUUCAGCAGCAUUUAGACCAUAUUUUGAUAUAAAAAAUAGUAUAAAUACUAUGAGAUAUAACAUAUUUGACUUCAAAAAAGAAAAGAAAGAAGAAAUUUUGCCCCUACCCUCCAAAAUUAUUGCUUAUUUUCCCUGAAUAAAAAUAGAUAUGUAUUCCACAAUCUUUUUUUCCCAAUUAUUAUAUUGAGUAUGUAUUCCUAUUUUAUUUAAUUUUUAUUCUUGAUCCUUGAAAUUUAUCUGUUCUGAAGCAUUACAAGUAACGGAAUAAAAAAUGGAUGAGUAAACACACUGGACUCUCCCCUGGCUCAGAAGGGCACUUGUCAUUAAAUCUGUAGCCAAGGAAUAUGUGAUUCUUAAUGGGUUUCCUGCAGCCUUCCUUGGAGUUUCUGCCUUCUCUUUAUCUUAUAAAAGGACCCCAAGGGCAGUUGGCAGGGAUGGGUUUCCUCCAGGCUCCUCUGAGUGCAGAUGAUUCUGAGGAUACAUCACAACCAGAAGUCCUGCUGUCACUGGGUCUUGGGACAUACCACAGGGGAUACCGGUAGAUGCAUUUGGCACUUUAUCCUAAAACCUAAUUGCAGUCUCAGUGCACCAGAGGAACCAAAUCAUGUUCCUGCCCAAAGAAAAGUCCAGGCUGCUUAAGCCUAAACCAACCCCAGACUCUGGUCUGGCCUUCCAUGAGAUGGGUGUGCUGUUUUGGGGAUGGGUAAAGACUAAUUCCUUAUAGACUGUCAGCAACUUCAUUAGGAGAGAACUGAGGUAUGGCUAUAGGUGUCAGGGAGAAAUACAAUUAAUCCAGAUGCCCAUCUCUUCAAAGAUAGGGGACAUCCUAUCAAGCAACAAUUGUUUCUUCCAGGCUUCAUAGCUUACAAUUACCUUUAGAAGUGUGCCUGGAGAAUAGAUUUGCCUUAAUUCAAAACUUUUCUUUCAUGGCCAAUCAUCUGUUGUACCCAGUUUCCAAGUCAGCCCUAAUGAUCUUCACUUCCUGAUAUUCAGUCCCCUCCCAUACUGAAUGCGUGUCCUAUGUGACCAGUAAAAUGUGGCAGAUGUAACGGCAUGUAACUUCUAAGGCUAGGUCAUAAAAGGCAUCACAGCUUCCACCUUGGGAUUGCUUACUCUAGGGGAAGCCAGUUGCCAUGUCAUGAGGACACUCAAGCAGGCCUGUGGAGAGGCUCACAAGGAGAGGGACAGAGCUCCCCUGCCAACAGACAGCACUAACUUGCUGACAGUGAGAGUAAGCCACUUUGGAAGAGGAUCCUCCCUGCAGCCCCAGUCAAGCCUUCAGAUUCCUGCAGUUCUAACUGACAUCUGCCUGCAACCACAUCAGUGGCCCCUCCCUUCCAUCACUUAAGCAGUGUGAGCUAUCCAGCCUAGCUCUUCCUAGAUUCCUGACCAACAGAAAAAGUGAGAGAAAAUAAAUGAUUAUUGUUUUAACCCACUAUAUUAGUCCAUUUUCAUGCUGCUGAUAAAGACAUACCUGAGACUGGGUAAUUUAUAAAGAAAAAGAGGUUUAGUGGACUCACAGUUCCACGUGGCUGGUGAGACUUCACAAUCAUGGUGGAAGGCAAAAGGCACAUCUUACAUGGCAGCAGACGAGAGAAUGAGAGCUAAGUGAAAGGGCAAACCCCUUAUAAAACCAUCAGAUCUCGUGAGACUUAUUCACUACCAUGAGAACAGUAUGGGGAAACCACUCCCUAAUUCAAUUAUCUCCCACCAGAUCCCUCGCACAACAUGUGGGAAUUGUGGGAGCUACAAUUCAAGAUGAGAUUUGGGUGGAGACACAGCCCAAGCAUAUCAGCCACUGUAUUUUGAAAUGAUUUAUCACAAAUCAUUGGAGUAACUAGAACAUCAUAAUUGUGUCAUUAGUCACCAAUUGUAUUUAUUCCACAAACUUUUAUCGAGCACCUGUUAUAUGUCAGGCCCUUUGUUAGGCUGGGAUACAAAGAACUACAACACACAGUUGUUGCUCUCAAUCCUUGGGAACACAGAUGAGUAAAUAUGAAUGACAGCACAAGAUCCCAUGAACAAAAUGCUGUAAGAACACAACAAAAGAGGAAUGAUUUUCUUUCCUUUGUCAAUAAAAUAAGUUAUUUAUUUUUUCAAUAAAAAUGUACUUAGUGCUUUCUAGGAGCCAAUCGCUGUGAUCUGUGAUAGAUGCUGAUAAAAAUAUGGUGAACGAGACACAAACCUUUUCCCAAGGUCAAUGUCAAAAGCUGAGGAGAUACCAUUUAGAAAAAAGCUAAAAUGAGGCCAUCAAAUUUUGCAUAUUGUGACCUUAGUGAGAGCAAUUUCUGUAAAAUGGUGAAAAUAGAUAAAAAAUUUGAAUAGGAAAAGGAGGAAGAGUCUGCUGGUAUAGAACAUAUUAUUUUUUCAAGAAUGUUAGUGACAAAAAGGAGAAAAGAGAAAGGUCAAGAACUUGGUUCUCCUGCUUACCUUCCAUAAGCUCAGCUGAUUUCAUCACCAGUGACUUUCUUCCCUUCUUCACUGGAGCUGGAGAUACAGGUGACACAACAACGCUGACCUAAAAUAGGCUCAGGGCACUAGCAGGACCCUGAGAGUGAAUGCCUCCUUAAAUUUUGCACCCUAACCAUCUUACUCACUUCACUCUAGUCCCAGCCCUGCAGGUAAGGGAUUGCUUCUUGAUGUUAAAAUGAGCUUUAGACAAGAUAGAAACAACUGUUACAAGCUUCAUCGCUGCUUAAAGACAAUGACAUGAUGCAUUAAUGUAGAAAACUAACGUUCAAUAACUACUGAUGAUAGUAGACAUUCCCAAGGAUAAGCAUGUAUAAGCAGAGUGGGUUAAUUGGAGAGACUGGCUGGCUCCUCCCACCUCUAACUGGGUGGCAUUCCCCACGGAGAAUUGAGCAGGGUAGAGAGGCUGCCUUCGGACUUGAGGAUGCUCACUCACACUAACCUGCUCUGGGGCUGAGCUCUCAAGAGACUACCCUGUAAAACCAGAAUGCCAAUCUUAAUUCACAAUGGCAACUGUAACUAGUAAGCCUAGUGCAUGCCAGUGUCUGCCCACCCAGCUUGGUGAGCCUGAAAUCAGAACAGGAGAUGCUAUGGGAUUUAACUGUUAAAAGAUCUUAAGGUCCCAAAGUCUGCAGCCUCCUUUUGUGUAUGAUGGGGGGCAUAGCAGUGUACCCUCUACCCUAGAAAAUGUUCUAUUGGGCACACUGUGCCUCUUAGAUGCUGCCUUUUCUGAGGAUACAUAAAUGAUUAAACUACUUGAGUGGAUGAUUCAGGGAGGAUAUUCUAAAUGUAUAAUAACCCAUACGUCAUGGGCUCCAGUCAAGCAGAAUGCCAGCAGGAGGGGGCACUGCUGGAGGCUCCCUGUUCUGCCAACUGCUGGAUUGCGGGGAGUUCCAGAGUGUCUGGGAGAGGGAAGCAGUGCUGGGGGUUUGGGUAUCAUGACUACUUAUCAACCACCUGGAAGUAUUUUGAUUUUUGAUGAUUGGCAGUCUGAUUUUCAGUCUUCUUCUUGUAUGUGAAUAUUGUGAUCAGGGCACAGGCUGCCUUGGAAGCCUUGCAGCCAUUCUUGCGGUGGUAACUUCUCUUUUUAACCUGAAUGCAUUUAAUGCUGAAUCAAAAUUUAGUUCUCAGAGGAAAACCAUAUUUCCCAGUUCUUAAAGACACCCCAUUGUUACCUCAACUAUUACCUCUAAUAAAUAUUAUCAAAUUGCAAUGGCAUUGAUAUUUUUCUUUCUCAGAACCUUUUAUAAGAAGUGAUAUAUAUUAGGUUCUUCUUAAAUUCUUUCUAAUAAAUUAGAUGAAUGAACAAACAAUGGGAGUAUUCUAAUUACAAUUUGCAUUUCCAUAAAUGGCUAAUAAUAGUGGAAUAUCUUUUUAUAUAGUUAUCUAUUUGUCCAUCUGUAUAUUUCCCCUGGUAAAAAUGUUGCUUCAGAUAUUUUGUUCAUUUUGAAAAUUGCAUUGUUUCCUUAUUGUUCAAUGUUGAGAGUUCCUUGUGUGUUCUAUAUACAAGUCUUUUUUUGGAGGGACACAUGAUUUGCUAAUAUUUUCUCCCAACCUAUAGCAUGUCUUUUCAUUCUCUCAGUAGUAUCAUUUGCAGAGCAAAAGUUUUAAAUUUUGAUAAAAAAUAAAUUUAUGACUUUUCAAAAAUUGUAUGGAUGAUGUGUUUUUUUCACAUCUAAGAACUCUUUGCCUAACACGAGAUGUCCAUGAGAAGAUCAGCCUGCUGAGAACAGGCCUUCAUAAACUUGAAUGAGAGAUAAAGACAGACCAGCAAAGCCAAGCUCCCAUCUUAACAAGGGGUGUGGUCUUCUCAGUACUCUCUCUCCCUCAGCUGUAGUUACGGUCCUGUAGAUAUUCUAGUGCCUCACCCAGGGUGGGGUGACCAACUCCUCCCAGCUUGUCAGGGACUUUUCCAGUAUUAGCUCUGAAAGUCUCAUGUCAGUCCUGGAUAAACAAACUAGGAGUAGAGAGUGUUUUCUGUUCCUCAGCUGCAAUGGGUUUUCCCCAGAGUCCUAAGGGUGGCAGUGCUGACUACCCUCCUCUUAGGUGAAAGCUUUUGUUCCUCGGAAGAGAUAAAGGAGAAGGUCCUGGUGGGGGGUUCUUGCUCCUUUCGGCAGAGGCUGCUAUUCUGCUUUCUCAGUGUGUUCCUGGUGGGGCUCCUGGAGAAGAGCUUGCAAGAGGGUGCAAACUCUCCUGUACCUGAAACUCCCAGGGGCUCUACAUUCUCCUACCAGCCCACAUGCAGCCUCUACCAAUGUGUUAACUAUUCUGGCUAGAUUCUUUCUACCAGUGUCUGUGUCUGCCCCAGGUCAGCAAGAUGUCUUAUGUCUCCCUGCAGACACUUCUCAUUCCUUAGAUUUUGGGCUACUGGGUUUUCCUGCAACUUCAGUUUUCUGAUGGGUUUAAGGAAAGUGAUAAACUUGCAGUCUGUCUGGCAGUGGAUUAUCACACACAAUAAUGAAGUGAGGUUCUUUCAAGCUCUGUACAUCUCUGAGUCAAACAUUUGAUUUUUAAUGUGUAACUAAUAAAAAAUUCAACUGCACACACACAAUACACACACAUGCACAUAAACACACACAACCCACUAUAUAUUCAACUCAUAGCUGCCAUAGGUUGAUGAGUAUACUCAUUAUUGUCUUGUAUUUGUCAGAAGUUCAGAUAAGAGCAGGUAGGAUUGGUUGUAGUUUCAGUGAACUAUCCUGAAGAAGUAUCAUUUCCAUUUCUCUUCUAUGUGCAAUCUAGGAAUGUUGUGGAAGUUUCUUUUGCAUUUAGAAUGUCAGCCACCAUAUUGACAUUCUGUCUCUCUGCACAUUUGGCCCUCGCUUUCCUUUACAAAUUGGAUUUGUAUUGUUUACUUAGAUUUAUUCUUGUUGCAGUCUAUUAAUUUAAUAAAUAUAUAUUGGGUGUUUACAGAGAGUAAGUUAUAUUAGAGAUACAAAGUACAUGUUGAAUUCUUAUGGAAAGUCCCAAUAUUUUAAGAGUUUGGGGCUCAAACGUGUCUUGUAAGUUGAUGUCUUGUUAUUUUCAACUCUGUAGAUGUCUCUGUGUUAGGAAAACUUGGAUAAGCAGGUCCAUAGAAAUUCCUCUGCUAGCCCUGUCUCCUGGAAUUUCUACAUAAUGGCAUAUCCUCAGUUUGAAUAGCUCUCUGGUUCCAGUUUGAAGCUGAAAAGGUUAAAUUCUACCUGAAGGAUGAAAACAACCAACAUUCUGUGCCAAGACAGUCAGGAGGGCAACCAUGUUUCCUGGUGGAGCCUCUGGAACCACUCAAGCCAAGAUGACCGGGGGUUUGGCUGGGAGGAGAUGGGGAAACUACAGACCCUACAGAUGGUUUCCUGUACCAUGAGGUUAAGCCUGGGGGCAGGAGAGGCUGUACCUUAGUUCCUUCAUCUGUAAAAUAAAGUAACAUAGUACCUACCUCA